GCAAGUCGAGCGGUAACAGGAAUAAAGUUUGCUUUCUUUUCUGGCGAGCGGCGGACGGGUGAGUAACGCGUAGGAAUCUGCCUAGUAGUGGGGGACAACAUGUGGAGACGCAUGCUAAUACCGCAUACGCCCUACGGGGGAAAGGAGGGGAUCUUCGGACCUUUCGCUAUUAGAUGAGCCCGCGUAAGAUUAGCUAGUUGGUGGGGUAAAGGCUCACCAAGGCGACGAUCUUUAGCUGGUCUGAGAGGAUGAUC
rnacentral:rRNA from 1 species